AAUAUGUCCAGUCUAAUUCUGCGUCAUGUCAUUGGAUAUUGACGCAGACUCGCUUUUGGACGAUAGCAACGAUAAAUGUCUUUUAUUAUCCUUGUGCCACAUGUAUAACACUCAUUUGGCACACGAGAAACGUAAAAGAACAAUU